rnacentral:rRNA from 1 species
UGGGGAAUAUUGCACAAUGGGCGGAAGCCUGAUGCAGCGACGCCGCGUGGGGGAUGAAGGCCUUCGGGUUGUAAACUCCUUUCGACAGGGACGAAGCUUUUGUGACGGUACCUGUAUAAGAAGCACCGGCUAACUACGUGCCAGCAGCCGCGGUAAUACGUAGGGUGCGAGCGUUGUCCGGAAUUACUGGGCGUAAAGAGCUCGUAGGUGGUUUGUCGCGUCAUCUGUGAAAUUCCGGGGCUUAACUCCGGGCGUGCAGGCGAUACGGGCUGACUUGAGUGCUGUAGGGGAGACUGGAAUUCCUGGUGUAGCGGUGAAAUGCGCAGAUAUCAGGAGGAACACCGAUGGCGAAGGCAGGUCUCUGGGCAGUAACUGACGCUGAGGAGCGAAAGCAUGGGUAGCGAACAGG